GCUGCGGCAGCGACACUAUGUGUUGUUGGGUAGGGGAGCGUUCUGUAAGCCUGUGAAGGUGGCCUGUGAGGGUUGCUGGAGGUAUCAGAAGUGCGAAUGCUGACAUAAGUAACGAUAAAGCGGGUGAAAAGCCCGCUCGCCGGAAGACCAAGGGUUCCUGUCCAACGUUAAUCGGGGCAGGGUGAGUCGACCCCUAAGGCGAGGCCGAAAGGCGUAGUCGAUGGGAAACAGGUUAAUAUUCCUGUACUUGGUGUUACUGCGAAGGGGGGACGGAGAAGGCUAUGUUGGCCGGGCGACGGUUGUCCCGGUUUAAGCGUGUAGGCUGGUUUUCCAGGCAAAUCCGGAAAACCAAGGCUGAGGCGUGAUGA
rnacentral:rRNA from 1 species